rnacentral:rRNA from 1 species
GAUGAACGCUGGCGGCGUGCCUAAUACAUGCAAGUCGAGCGAACAGACGAUGAGCUUGCUCCUCUGACGUUAGCGGCGGACGGGUGAGUAACACGUGGAUCAUCUACCUAUAAGUCUGGGAUAACUUCGGGACACCGGAGCUUAUACCGGAUAAUCUAUUGAACCGCAUGGUUCAAUAGUGAAAUACGGUUUUGCUGUCACUUAUAGCUGGAUCCGCGCCUCAUUAGCUAGUUGGUAAGUUAACGGCUUACCAAGGCAACGAUGCGUAGCCGACCUGAGAGGGUGGUCGGCCACACUGGAACUGGGACACGGUCCAGACGCCUACGGGAGGCAGCAGUCGGGAAUCGUAGGCAAUGGGCGAAAGCAUGACGGAGCAGCGGCGAGUGAGUGAUGAAGGUCUUCGGAUCGUAAAAACCUGUUAUUAGGGAAGAACAAAUGUGUAAGUAAAUAUGCACGUAUUGACGGUAACUAAUCAGAAAGCCACGGCUAACUACGUG